rnacentral:rRNA from 1 species
CAGCAGCCGCGGUAAUACGUAGGGUGCGAGCGUUAAUCGGAAUUACUGGGCGUAAAGCGUGCGCAGGCGGUUGUGUAAGACAGGUGUGAAAUCCCCGGGCUUAACCUGGGAACUGCGCUUGUGACUGCACAGCUAGAGUAUGGCAGAGGGGGGUGGAAUUCCACGUGUAGCAGUGAAAUGCGUAGAGAUGUGGAGGAACACCGAUGGCGAAGGCAGCCCCCUGGGCCAAUACUGACGCUCAUGCACGAAAGCGUGGGGAGCAAACAGGAUUAGAGACCCGCGUAGUCCCUGUCUCUUAUAC